rnacentral:rRNA from 1 species
UUAGAGUUUGAUCCUGGCUCAGGAUGAACGCUAGCGACAGGCCUAACACAUGCAAGUCGAGGGGUAACAGGGAGCUUGCUCCGCUGACGACCGGCGCACGGGUGAGUAACGCGUAUGCAACCUGCCCAUAGGAUCGGGAUAGCCCCCCGAAAGGGGGAUUAACACCGGAUGAGACCCGGGGGCCGCAUGACCCCUUGGUCAAAUGCGAAGCUUAUGGAUGGGCAUGCGUCUGAUUAGCUAGUUGGCGGGGUAACGGCCCACCAAGGCGACGAUCAGUAGGGGUCCUGAGAGGGAGGUCCCCCACAUUGGUACUGAGACACGGACCAAACUCCUACGGGAGGCAGCAGUGAGGAAUAUUGGUCAAUGGGCGAGAGCCUGAACCAGCCAUGUCGCGUGGAGGAAUAAGGAUCUAUGGUUCGUAAACUCCUUUUGCGGGGGGAUAAAGUGCGGGACGUGUCCCGCUUUGCAGGUACCCCGCGAAUAAGCAUCGGCUAACUCCGUGCCAGCAGCCGCGGUAAUACGGAGGAUGCGAGCGUUAUCCGGAUUUAUUGGGUUUAAAGGGUGCGUAGGCGGCCCCUUAAGUCGGCGGUGAAAUUUUCCGGGCUCAACCCGGUCACUGCCGUCGAAACUGGGGGGCUUGAGUGCGUUUUGGGGUGGCUGGAAUGUGCGGUGUAGCGGUGAAAAUGCAUAGAUAUCGCACAGAACGCCGAUCGCGGAGGCAGGUCACCAAGCCGCAACUGACGCUGAGGCACGAAAGCGCGGGGAUCGAACAGGAUUAGAUACCCUGGUAGUCCCGACCUUAAACGGUGCACACUCGAGGUGGGAGCGUUUGACGCGCCCGUCUCUUAGCUAACGCGAUAAGUGUGCCGCCUGGGGAGUACGGCCGCAAGGCUAAAACUCAAAGAAAUUGACGGGGGCCCGCACAAGCAGAGGAGCAUGUGGCUUAAUUCGAUGCAACGCGAAGAACCUUACCUGGAUUUGACAUACAGCUGCAAGGGGUAUGAAAGUGUCCCGCCUUCGAGGGUGCUGUACAGGUGCUGCAUGGCUGUCGUCAGUUCGUGCCGUGAGGUGUUUGGUUAAGUCCACCAACGAACGCAACCCCUAUCGCAUGUUGCCAGCGGGUCAAGCCGGGAACUCGUGCGAGACUGCUCGUUUACGCGAGAGGAAGGUGGGGAUGACGUCAAGUCAGUAUGGCCCUUACAUCCAGGGCUGCACACGUGCUACAAUGGCAUAUACAGAGCGACGCGAGACCGCAAGGUGGAGCAAACCGCACAGAGUAUGCCUCAGUUCAGAUUGGGGUCUGCAACCCGACCCCAUGAAGUCGGAUUUGCUAGUAACGGCGUAUCAGCUACGACGCCGUGAAUGCGUUCCCGGGCCUUGCACACACCGCCCGUCAAG